CCCCCGCUAAUAAAAAUUUUUGGAUCCAUCCCAACUCUUAGUCCUAGCUGUCGCUGCUCCUUCAUCUUCGUCCUCCUCCUCCUACUUCUUUUUCUUCCCCCUUUUCUUCUUCGCUCCCUCUGAUCUUUCUACACAUGAAGGUUAAAGUUGCAUGUCUUGUAAUUUUUGUUUCUGGUUUUCAUCUUGCCGUUCUCUUUGCUGAGCACAAGCGCGAAUCGCCUCUCCUCAUUUCACUUCCUAUUGCGAGGCAUUGUAAUGAGCAUCGCAUCGCACCAUCAAUGCUCAUCUCGACCCAUCUAAUAGAGACCCAUAUGCAAAUACAUCCUUACUUUGAUAGCAUCAGAGAACCAUCCAUCCAUCCUUGCCUCGACACCAUCAGAGAUGGAAACCCAUCGUCGAUGUGCCUCAUGCUAAAAAAGACUUGGAAUGUUUGAGAGACAGAGUUAAAGUCUAGAGGCGACUCAUGUCAGAUAAGAACAAGGAAAAAGCAGUAGGGUGAGCAGCUGAAUUGGCAAGGCCUUCGCUGAUCUUUUUGUUUGGGUAUUUAAUUAUACCUUGUAGUUAUUUGAUGUAAAUAUUGUAAUGUCUUAUGUAUCAAUGUAAAGUUGAGCAGAUGUAUGAUAAAUUGUAAUAAUGAUAUUUUUCUUUUUGUAAAUUAAGAUCUGUAUUUGUAAAUUUAGUACUAUUUAUAAAAUUGAAAUGAAUUUGUGAAGUA